GUGCUCACUUCAUCAGCACAUACACUAAAACUGGAGCCAUACAGAGAAGAUUAGCAUGGCCCCUAUGUAAAGAUGACAUGAAAAUUUGUGAAGUGUUCAUAUUUUUU
ensembl:snRNA U6 U6 spliceosomal RNA